UACGUAGGGUGCGAGCGUUGUCCGGAAUUACUGGGCGUAAAGAGCUCGUAGGUGGUUUGUCGCGUUGUUCGUGAAAACCGGGGGCUUAACCCUCGGCGUGCGGGCGAUACGGGCAGACUUGAGUACUGCAGGGGAGACUGGAAUUCCUGGUGUAGCGGUGGAAUGCGCAGAUAUCGGGAGGAACACCGGUGGCGAAGGCGGGUCUCUGGGCAGUAACUGACGCUGAGGAGCGAAAGCGUGGGGAGCGAACAGG
rnacentral:rRNA from 1 species